CAUUGAUGGCGAAACUUUUUCCUUAUAUUAUUUAUAUUAGUUAGUACCGGGUAACCCGUAUUGUACCUCUGAACAUUAAACCCCGUCGGGAACCCCUAUUCAACAUUAGCACAGUUUGUAUCUGAACCAAUGAAAACUUGUGUAUAGAUCACGUGUCUACUUCUGUUAGAAAGUUUUGAUUGUUUGGACUUGUAGAAAGCGUGUUGAAAUUUGAGAAAUCCAGUAAUUUUUAUAGUUUGUGCAUUGGAGAUUUGCACUAAGUGUAAGUGACUUGCAGUUUUGUUUUGUUAACUAGUACAUGUUAACAUCCUCGUGGGUUGAAUCAUUGGUACAGAAACUUUGUGCACUCGUUCAGCAGACGCGUCGCGUCAGUGACGAUGGCGGAUUAAACGUGCAAGGCGAUAGUGAUAGGACAUUCAUAUGUGCGCCGUUUGGAUGUUUAUUUGCAACGUCACAACAUAAUGAACUUACGUUUGGACAACGAAAAAUUCCAAGUUUCAUUACGGGGAAAGGGAGGUUUAUGUCUUAGACAUAUUCGUUUCAAUGCAAAAAUUCUGCACUUUGACACAACCCCCGAUAUAUGUUUCAUGCAUAUCGGUGAAAAUGACAUAUCGCCCCGUAGCGAACCAGGGAAAAUUUCAGAGGACAUUUUUUCGCAGACUUGUUAUCUGCGCGACGGAGUUGGCGUAAAACAAGUUAUCGUUUGCCAGUUGUUGCGUCGGCUGCCAUAUGCGUCCUGUCCACGGUUUAACGAGAUGGUACAGUCAGUGAACCACUUGCUGAAAGAAAAGUUAUCGGACGUACAAGGGAUUGUGUUUUGGCCACACCGUGGAUUCUGGGAGUCACUGUCAUACAUCUGCCCAGAUGGAGUACACCUGCUAUGUACUCAAGCCAAUGAUCAGUCCAUGAGGAAGUUUCUGUGGAGUAUAAGCAACGCUAUAAUUAUUAACGCCAAAUAUCUCAGCAAACAUGCCAAAGGGCAAAGCCACUUCAAGGAAGCGACCAGCUUCACCCCGGCCCGCUCCAAAGAAGUCCAGUCGUCACAGUGUAGCACCACACAACCCGUCUGUGGAACAAGAGCCUGCAGAGUUGACACCCACCAUAGACUAUGAAAAACUGGCGAGACACAUCGUCCAGGAGCAAGCACGGGCCCAAAAUGCAAACGUUCCCUCAGAACAGACGUCUCCCAAUUCACGGCACCAAAUGGAUGGGACUUGCUAGGACAUACCCACCACUUCCAACCAAGCCAUUUCGAGUGACAAUGUCACCACCAUCCUUGACGCAGUAUUUCAGGGCAGCUUGGCAGCUAGCACCGGAUCUGGAGGAAUGUCAGAUACUCAUCCCACACUCUCUUCUACACAUUUAGCACAUGGAGCACGGACACUUAUCAGCAUCCUUGGCAUUAUCAACUCAAUUAGCGUACCGGCGAUCAUGGCAACUCUUGCAAACAUUUCAAGGUCAGAUAGCUUUACCCUUGCGUGUGGUUGACAUAUCCAACUUUAUACUCCACUUGCAUUCAUCCCAUUUUAGUGCAAGUACAGUUUCUUCCCAUUUUUCUGCCAUAGGUUAUGUACACAAGAUACUUGCAUUACCGGACCCUACACAGCUGUUUAUUGUGAAAAAGAUACUAAGGGGUUAUCACAGGUUGUCUCCCACAGUGGAUUCACGCCUGCCAAUUGCCAGAUAUAUCUUGCUUCAGAUUAUCAAGGCUAUACCCCACACCAUUUCUGUUUUGGAUUAUCGUAUCAUGUUAGAAGCCCUUUUCUCUAUUUGUUUUCAUGCUUUCCUUAGAUUGGUGAGGUCACAGUAAAACAAGGCAUUACAUCAGAUAAAGUCAUUCACCUUCAAGAUGUAGAGUUUCAAUACAAUGGUUCCAUUCCCUCCAGAGUGCAAUUAGUAUUGCGCUAUUUCAAAACCCAAAAAAUGAAUAAGCCUGUCACAAUUUGUGUAGAGGGCUUCCCCACACUGGACCAUUGCCCCGUCAAAUCAUUACACCGUUAUCUGUCGCAUUCAGGUCAUACAUCUGGUCCACUUUUUCAAUAUAGAGAUGGUUCUCCGAUUACGUACAAUUAUGUUUCCAAAGAACUUUCAAACAUCAUUAAGUAUGUGAGUCUCAAUCCUGCACUAUACAAAGGUCACAGUUUUCGCAUUGGGGCAGCAACAUAUGCAGCACAAAAAAGGUACUCGGAGAAUUAUAUCCAACAAUUAGGUCGCUGGAACAAUAAUGCCUUGAAACGCUAUAUUCGCAUACCUACACUUUCUCUUUGAUCACUUCACCUCUCCUGAAUCAGCCCAUUCGUUGGUGAAGUUCAAAUAUUUUAUGCAGGUCCGUGUUUAACUGCUGCAUCAAGUUGUUGGCUCAUUUCACUCAUUGCCUGUACCCGGUUUCUUUCUAUACAGGCCCAUUUUUCACCAUAUAUAACUUUUACCAAAAAUGCCAGUGUCCUACUACCCAAAAAAUGGGGUUUACCAUGCACGUCAGUGUUUAAGUGUCGCAAUUAUGAGGUCAUUAUGCAGGUCAGUGUUUAACCGCUGCAACAACGGGGGUUACCAUGCAGGUCAGUGUUUAACUGCUGCAAGAAUGGGGUCACCAUGCAGGUCAGUAUUUAACUGCUGCAACAAUGGGGUCACCAUGCAGGUCAAUGUUUAACUGCUGUAACAACGGGGGCUACCAUGCAGGUCAGUUUUUAACUGCUGUGGAAAAAACCCCAAUCCAUUUCCCUUCCCACUUUAAAGUACCUGUUUUAGGCAUAUUUGCGUGCUGACUCACCAACAGGGUCCAACCAUUAAUUACCUCCGUUAUGGUUGAAUUGUAGUUAAGUUUUUCACAACUUAUGUAUAUAAAUGUUUGAAUUUGUUACACAAUUUACAAGACAGCUCACCUUGGAUGGCUCUGAAUAUGAUUUGUUAAUCAUAUCUUUGGCCCUUUUUGUUCGCCAUCUUUUUGCUUGUUGUACACUUUGGAACAAGUUUCCAAGGUCUGUAUUUUAACUAGUCAUUGUUUGUUAUUUGUGAUAAUCAUGUAUGGGGAAAAUCAGGACAGAUGUGUUGAAAUCCUAUGUAAUUACAUUGUAUGUAUCUACUGAUUUUCCCCUGGUUGAACUGGUCAGUACCAUAUUUAUCUGUGAAAUUAUCUAUAUGGGAGAAAUCAGAAAUGAUGGGUUUAUAUAUUGUGCAAGAUUAUGACAGUGUCUGUGGAUCGCUGAUGUCCCCCCUUCUUUGUAUUAACCUUUAUCUUCGUCAUUUGUUGUCUAAAAUAAAUGACAUAUUUCAUUCUCAUACAGUUUUACAGUGUUGAUUUUUAAAGCAAAAACAAGCUUCGGUGAGCUGUCCUCUUGAAAAGGAAAUAGUAUGAGACAUAAAAUAUAUAGUAUGUAUAUAAUAACAUUUAUGGCGAAACUUUUUCCUUAUAUUAUUUAUAUUAGUUAGUACCGGGUAACUCGCAUUGUACCUCUGAACAUUAAACCCCGUCGGGAACCCCUAUUCAACAUUAGCACAGUUUGUAUCUGAACCAAUGAAAACUUGUGUAUAGAUCACGUGUCUACUUCUGUUAGAAAGUUUUGAUUGUUUGGACUUGUAGAAAGCGUGUUGAAAUUUGAGAAAUCCAGUAACCCACCACCUCCCCAUCUUAAAUUCCACCUAUAUAUAUAAAAAUGUAGCUUAAUUAUUCGUCAUCUUAUUGUAGCCCUUUUUGUUCGCCAUCUUUUUGCUUGUUGUACACUUUGGAACAAGUUUCCAAGGUCUGUAUUUUAACUAGUCAUUGUUUGUUAUUUGUGAUAAUCAUGUAUGGGGAAAAUCAGUAGAUACAUACAAUGUAAUAACAUAGGAUUUCAACACAUCUGUCCUGAUUUUCCCCUGGUUGAACUGGUCAGUACCAUAUUUAUUUGUGAAAUUAUCUAUAUGGGGGUAAUCAGAAAUGAUGGGUUGAUAUAUUGUGCAAGAUUAUGACAGUGUUCGUGGAUCGCUGAUUUCCCCCCUUCUUUGUAUAAACCUUUAUCUUCGUCAUUUGUUGUCUAAAAUAAAUGACAUAUUUCAUUCUCAUACACUUUUACAGUGUUGAUUUUUAAAGUAAAAACAAGCUUAGGUGAGCUAUCCUCUUGAAAAGGAAAUAGUAUGAGACAUAAAUAGAUAUCAUGAUAUAUUGGGUUUUAACGUUUGCUGGUUUCUUUAUAAUUUAUUUUGUUUUAUUUUGAGGAAAGAAAAUGUAGAUUUCAUUUUUUUUAAACGUAAGAUUAAAGCAAAAUUAAAGAU